AUUGAACGCUGGCGGCAGGCCUAACACAUGCAAGUCGAGCGGAUGAAGGGAGCUUGCUCCUGGAUUCAGCGGCGGACGGGUGAGUAAUGCCUAGGAAUCUGCCUGGUAGUGGGGGAUAACGUCCGGAAACGGGCGCUAAUACCGCAUACGUCCUGAGGGAGAAAGUGGGGGAUCUUCGGACCUCACGCUAUCAGAUGAACCUAGGUCGGAUUAGCUAGUUGGUGGGGUAAAGGCCUACCAAGGCGACGAUCCGUAACUGGUCUGAGAGGCUGAUCAGUCACACUGGAACUGAGACACGGUCCAGACUCCUACGGGAGGCAGCAGUGGGGAAUAUUGGACAAUGGGCGGAAGCCUGAUCCAGCCAUGCCGCGUGUGUGAAGAAGGUCUUCGGAUUGUAAAGCACUUUAAGUUGGGAGGAAGGGCAGUAAGUUAAUACCUUGCUGUUUUGACGUUACCAACAGAAUAAGCACCGGCUAACUUCGUG
rnacentral:rRNA from 1 species